UGAUGGUAUCCCUACAGAAGGAUUCUGCACCCCAGAAUCAUCUCACUGUUUUAAUAGGUUCUGCUCAGUCCCUUGGAGUCAGGAGUCCAUGGCUUCCAGGCUUGUUACCUUUCUGGCUUCCUUGCUUUAGGCAAA
rfam:Choloepus hoffmanni cont1.886405, whole genome shotgun sequence.